rnacentral:rRNA from 1 species
GGAAAAGAAACUAACAAGGAUUCCCCUAGUAACGGCGAGUGAAGCGGGAUGAGCUCAAAUUUAAAAUCUGGCUGGUUUACUAGUCCGAAUUGUAGUUUAUAGAAGCGUUUUCGGUGGCAGCCUGGGUAUAAAUCCUUUGGAAUAGGGUAUCAUAGAGGGUGAGAAUCCCGUCUUUGACUCAGUGCAUGCUACUAUGUGAUACGUUUUCAAAGAGUCGAGUUGUUUGGGAAUGCAGCUCAAAAUGGGUGGUAAAUUUCAUCUAAAGCUAAAUAUUGGCGAGAGACCGAUAGCGAACAAGUACCGUGAGGGAAAGAUGAAAAGAACUUUGAAAAGAGAGUUAAACAGUGCGUGAAAUUGUUGAAAGGGAAACGUUUGACACCAGUUAUGCGGGUGGAAAAUCAGUCUUUUGCAAUGGGGAGUUGUGGGCGUUCAGACCGCAAGGCUGGCGUUUGCUUCAUCUUUGUUGUAAGUGAUGCACUUUUUCAUUUGCAGGUCAACAUCAGUUUGCUUUGCUGGACAAAACCCCAAGGGAAGGUGACAGCUUAGGCUGUGUUAUAGCCCUGGGGCGAUACAGUGGAGUGGACUGAGGUUUCGCAGUGUGUGCUCUCGGGCAAGGCUGACUGGGUGCUAUGGGAUCGUUCGGCGUACAAUGCAUGCAUUUUGCGUCGUGUCUUUUUCAUACUCGCUCAACUCGGCUCUUCCACACUUAGGAUGUUGACUUAAUGGUUUUAAACGACCCGUCUUGAAACACGGACCAAGGAGUCUAACAUAUAUGCAAGUGUUUGGGUGGCAAACCCAUGCGCGUAAUGAAAGUGAACGUAGGUGCGAUCCGCAAGGUGCAGCAUCGACCGAUCUUGAUAUUUUUGGAUAGAUUUUGAGUAAGAGCAUAUAUGCUGGGACCCGAAAGAUGGUGAACUAUGCCUGAAUANGGGUGAAGCCAGAGGAAACUCUNGGUGGAGGCUNCGUARCGAUUCUGACGUGCAAAUCGAUCGUCAAAUUUGGGU